GAUGAACGCUGGCGGCGUGCCUAAUACAUGCAAGUCGAGCGAAUGGAUUAAGAGCUUGCUCUUAUGAAGUUAGCGGCGGACGGGUGAGUAACACGUGGGUAACCUGCCCAUAAGACUGGGAUAACUCCGGGAAACCGGGGCUAAUACCGGAUAACAUUUUGAACCGCAUGGUUCGAAAUUGAAAGGCGGCUUCGGCUGUCACUUAUGGAUGGACCCGCGUCGCAUUAGCUAGUUGGUGAGGUAACGGCUCACCAAGGCAACGAUGCGUAGCCGACAUGAGAGGGUGAUCGGCCACACUGCGACUGAGACACGGCCCAGACUCCUACGGGAGGCAGCAGUAGGGAAUCUUCCGCAAUGGACGACAGUCUGACGGAGCAACGCCGCGUGAGUGACGAAGGCUUUCGGGUCGUAAAACUCUGUUGUUAGGGAAGAACAAGUGCUAGUUGAAUAAGCUGACACCUUGACGGUACCUAACCAGAAAGCCACGGCUAACUACGUGCCAGCCGCCGCAGUAA
rnacentral:rRNA from 1 species